CGGAAUGUAGCGCAGCCUGGUAGCGCACUUGUCUGGGGGACAAGGGGUCGUGGGUUCGAAUCCCGCCAUUCCGA
rnacentral:tRNA from 1 species